rnacentral:rRNA from 1 species
UACGUAGGGUGCGAGCGUUGUCCGGAAUUAUUGGGCGUAAAGAGCUCGUAGGCGGUUUGUUGCGUCUAUCGUGAAAACCUGCGGCUUAACUGUGGGCUUGCGGUGGAUACGGGCAGACUUGAGUUCGGUAGGGGAGACUGGAAUUCCUGGUGUAGCGGUGAAAUGCGCAGAUAUCAGGAGGAAUACCGGUGGCGAAGGCGGGUCUCUGGGCCGAUACUGACGCUGAGGAGCGAAAGCGUGGGGAGCGAACAGG